AGAGUUUGAUCCUGGCUCAGAACGAACGCUGGCGGCGUGGAUAAGACAUGCAAGUCGAACGGAGACUCUUUAGCUUGCUAUGGAGUCUUAGUGGCGAACGGGUGAGUAACACGUGAGUGACCUGCCCUGAAGCGCGGGAUAGCCCGGGGAAACUCGGAUUAAUACCGCAUGUGAUUGAAAAAUUAAAGGUGCCGCAAGGUGCCGCUUCGGGAUGGGCUCGCGGCCUAUCAGCUAGAUGGUGGGGUAAAGGCCUACCAUGGCGAUGACGGGUAACUGGUCUGAGAGGAUGAUCAGUCACACUGGAACUGAGACACGGUCCAGACACCUACGGGUGGCAGCAGUCGAGAAUCAUUCGCAAUGGGGGAAACCCUGACGGUGCGACGCCGCGUGGAGGAUGACGGCCUUCGGGUUGUAAACUCCUGUCAUCGGUGAGUAAGGUUUUGCGGAGUAACUGCCGCAAAGAUUGAUAGUAGCCGAAGAGGAAGGGACGGCUAACUUCGUGCCAGCAGCCGCGGUAAUACGAAGGUCCCAAGCGUUGUUCGGAAUCACUGGGCGUAAAGCGUGCGUAGGCGGCGGGGUAAGUCAGAUGUGAAAGGCAGGGGCUCAACUCCUGGACUGCAUCCGAUACUGCCUUGCUCGAGUAGUGGAGGGGAGUCUGGAAUUCUCGGUGGAGCAGUGAAAUGCGUAGAUAUCGAGAGGAACACUAGUGGCGAAGGCGAGACUCUGGACACUUACUGACGCUCAGGCACGAAGGCCAGGGUAGCGAAAGGGAUUAGAUACCCCUGUAGUCCUGGCAGUAAACGGUGCACGUUUGGUGUGGGAAGGUUCGACCCUUUCCGUGCCGAAGCUAACGCGUUAAACGUGCCGCCUGGGGAGUACGGCCGCAAGGCUAAAACUCAAAGGAAUUGACGG
rnacentral:rRNA from 1 species